GAUGAACGCUGGCGGCGUGCUUAACACAUGCAAGUCGAACGGAAAGGCCCAAGCUUGCUUGGGUACUCGAGUGGCGAACGGGUGAGUAACACGUGGGUGAUCUGCCCUGCACUUCGGGAUAAGCCUGGGAAACUGGGUCUAAUACUGGAUAGGACCACUUCUUGGAUGUUGUGGUGGAAAGUUUUUUCGGUGUGGGAUGAGCUCGCGGCCUAUCAGCUUGUUGGUGGGGUAAUGGCCUACCAAGGCGUCGACGGGUAGCCGGCCUGAGAGGGUGUACGGCCACAUUGGGACUGAGAUACGGCCCAGACUCCUACGGGAGGCAGCAGUGAGGAAUAUUGCACAAUGGGCGCAAGCCUGAUGCAGCGACGCCGCGUGGGGGAUGACGGCCUUCGGGUUGUAAACUCCUUUCGCUAGGGACGAAGCGUUUUGUGACGGUACCUGGAGAAGAAGCACCGGCUAACUACGUG
rnacentral:rRNA from 1 species